ACCUCAUCCCUAUUUCAAAUAAUAAACACACUCAAUAGGUAGAGGAAAAUAAAGAUCACCAGCUGGGAUAUACAAGGCACAGCUGUUUCUCCAAACCUACUCUACAUGGGGUAUAAAGUAGCUGUGUUCUUACCAGGACCCAAUCAAGGCAAAGAGAUGAGUGCUACAAUUCUAAUACAAAGCCUCUCAGAAAGAGGCACUACCUGGGUAGGAGGAAAGAAUUCCUAGAGGGCUCUUAAAAACUGGUGAUUUAUGGAUUUGAAUCAUGGGAAGUUUAAUGCUGCUGACAAGAAGAAAAUUGAAGCUUUUGAAAUGUGGCACUGGUGAAGACUCCUGCGUAUCUCCUGGACCGAAAAAUAUGACUGCUGAUGUUUGAAAUAUUAUGGGAGAGAAGCAGACCCUGAUGUUGGAGAUCAACAGAUGCAAACGUUUGUCACGUUAUGUGUAGAAAUGGAAAUAACCUUGUGAAAGUUUAUAAUCGAAGGAGUGGUAGAGGGUCAUUGUAGUAGGGAAUGACCAGCAAGGAGAUAGACGGAUCAUCUGAAGAUCACUGGAAGGUCAGUUGCUGAGUGCUCGAAGUUAGCAAUCGUAAAGUCUUCUGAAAAUUCUACUGGGAUGUUUCCAAUAUUUGGACUUACUUACUUUUAACAAUGACUCAUUUUCAUGUGGCUGGGGCCUGGAAAUAAACAUUUACUUAAUACAGCAGAGUGGAGGCAGAUUGCUGCAUGACCAACUUCUGGAGAGAUCCUGCUUUACUCAGACACAAAGCUUCCUGGAGCUGUGGGGAACGUUAUAGAGUGGUGGAUUAGUCAAGAUGCAGAGUGUGCUUCCUCUCCAUCCCCACCCAGGGCCAGCUGAACUAGCCAAUGAAGGAGAGGACUCUGUUGGCUCUUAGUGAAAUUAAGUGCAAGGACCAGAUUGCAUCCAGUCCCUUGUGCAAGAACCUAUGGCAAAAAUGGUUACUCAUAAUCUCUUCCUCCUGUGCAGGUCUGGCCACAAACUAUUCCAAAGCAAGUAACAUUUUGUAAACAACUACUAAAUAUCUAUUAUCAGCUUAAGUCUCUCAUCCCCAUGGUAUCUGAGCACCUCACAAUCUUCAAUACCCUUGUGAGGUAGGACAGUGCUAUUAUCCCUGUUGUACAGGUAGGGAAAUGGAGCACAGAGGUUAAGUGAGUUGCCCAUCACUAUGUAGGAAGUCUGUAGAAGAGCAGAGAUUUGAACCUGGGUCUCCUAGGACCCAGGCUAAUGCCAUAACCACUUGGCUAUCCUUCCUUUUCUUUACAAUGGUGCCCCAACCAGAACUGGGGCUCUUUUAUGCUAGCCAUGGUGCAACCAUAGAGUUAUGCAAGGUCCCUUCCCCAAAAAACCUAGUUUGUAUUAGUAUUUACAUUACAACUGAGAAAGUAACUAACAUAGCCAUGUAAACCCACUUUAAAAUCUGAGGUUUUUAUAGUGUUUACUGACAAGUUAUACUUGAA